UAGAACGUCGUGAGACAGUUCGGUCCCUAUCUGCCGUGGGCGUUUGAGAUUUGCGAGGAGUUGAUCCUAGUACGAGAGGACCGGAUUGAACGUACCUCUGGUGUUCCAGUUGUCACGCCAGUGGCAUUGCUGGGUAGCUACAGUACGGAAGAGAUAACCGCUGAAAGCAUCUAAGCGAGAAGCUCCCCUCAAGAUUAGAUCUCACUGUUUAAAUACACUGUAGGUCCGUUGUAGACUACAACGUUGAUAGGUUGGGUGUGUAAGCGUAGUAAUACGUUCAGCUAACCAAUACUAAUUGACCGUGAGACUUGACCAC
rnacentral:ncRNA from 1 species